CCUACGGGGGGCAGCAGUGGGGAAUUUUGGACAAUGGGCGCAAGCCUGAUCCAGCUAUUCCGCGUGUGGGAUGAAGGCCCUCGGGUUGUAAACCCCUUUUGUAGAGAACGAAAAGACACCUUCGAAUAAAGGGUGUUGCUGACGGUACUCUAAGAAUAAGCACCGGCUAACUACGUCCCAGCAGCCGCGGUAAUACGUAGGGUGCGAGCGUUAAUCGGAAUUACUGGGGGUAAAGGGUGCGCAGGCGGUUGAGUAAGACAGAUGUGAAGUCCCCGAGCUUAACUCGGGAAUGGCAUAUGUGACUGCUCGACUAGAGUGUGUCAGAGGGAGGUGGAAUGCCACGUGUAGCAGUGAAAUGCAUAGAUAUCACGCAGAACCCCGAUUGCGAAGGCAGCAUACCGGUGCACAACUGACGCUCAGGCACGAAAGCGUGGGUAUCGAACAGGAUUAGAUACCCCUGUAGUC
rnacentral:rRNA from 1 species